GGGCAAUUAGCUUUAGCUCACUCGAGGGGAAUCGAGUAUAAGCUCCGCGUCCACUAGUUUUAACUCUCAACUAGAUUCUCCAGUUCAUGACCGGAGUCUCCAACUUGAAGCUUCUUCCAGUAAAGUAAAUGAAAGGAAUUGGGAGAGAUUUUUGCCAUUUACGGCGAACAGCAGUCUAGAGCUUAGCCAGUUUUCUAUCGCAACAAGCGAUGAGUCUGAAAAGACAUUGCCCACAUCAAAUUUGAAGAUUUAUACCCUUGCUGAUCUGAAAAUGGCCAGCUUUGCUGUUGGGAUCUGGGCAUUUUGGAACUGUAUCUAAGGGUUGGGUGGACUCCAAGACACUUGCACGGUUUAUCGAUGGUGCCAGAAUGCUGGUUGCCAUCAAGAAAUUGAACCCUUAGAGUCUGCAAGGGUUUGGAGAAUGGCAGGAAAUGUAAUUGAAACUUUUUGUUUGAAUUGUAAGUAAUUUAAUGGCUUGAUGUUUUUCCCAUGUUAGGACUAUGUAGAGUAGGGCUGGCAUGGUCCGGUUAGAUUCGGUUGUGACGAAAAAUCAAAUUUGACUCGAAAUUUUUGAAUAUUUAGUAAGUGGAAGAUCGACAUGUUCAAAUGAAAGCAAGUUGCUAAGUGAAAUUUGUGGGUGAAUUUUGAAAGUUCGCAGAAUGUAAAAUUGCCAUUUAUUAUGUGCUUGUUUCAUUUGGAAGAAGUUUUAAGCCGUGGCUGUGUAUCUAUGCAUUAGGAACAUUAUUGUCUCAACUUCUCUUCAUGUUUAUUGUCCAUGUCUUGACUAUAGUGCGUCAUAUUUACACUUUCCAAUUUAAGAGUCUUAUAUCCUUUUUUCUUGUACGGAUUGCCUUCAAAUGCUUGAGGUAAUGAUAAUGACGUUUUUACUUAAUUUGGAAAUGCAGACAUAAGUGAACUAUUUAGGAAGGCUUUCACAUCCCAAAUUGGUCAAGCUCCUUGGAUACUGUUGGGAAGAUAAAGAUCUUUCACUUGUAUACGAGUUUAUACAGAGG
rnacentral:lncRNA from 1 species